rnacentral:rRNA from 1 species
AACGUAGGAGACAAACGUUUAUCCGGAGUUACUGGGCGUAAAGGGCGUGUAGGUGGUAGUGUAAGUCUGGCGUGAAAUUUUUCGGCUUAACCGGGAAAGGUCGUCGGAUACUGCACAACUAGAGGACGGUAGAGGCGUGUGGAAUUCCGGGUGUAGUGGUGAAAUGCGUAGAGAUCCGGAGGAACACCAGUGGCGAAGGCGACACGCUGGGCCGUACCUGACACUGAUGCGCGACAGCAUGGGGAGCAAACAGG